GUGAGGUUUUGUCCAGAGGAGGUUGGACAUCCAGCAUUCCUUGGUGGCCUUGAUCCUUUAUCCUGAGCUCAAACUGAAGUGGGGAAGGCUCAUGCCAAGCUUGCUGUGCUUUCUGUUGUGCACUGAACAGUUAUUGGCUGUUAUCUUGUAAACACUGCAAGACAAUCUCGUGGAGAAAAUGACUCCGUGCAGCCUGAAAUAAGAUACUGCUGGAGCAAGAACGCUGAUGACAUGGAUGAACAUUUCUGGUCGUGUUUCCUGCAGACCAGCUCUCACCUGCACCUUCAUGCCACAGACAAAUCCUCCAGCUCUCGGAACAGGGACAAUUGGAAUGGAAGAAAUGUUUAUGGUUUGACUUGGAGACUUCCAUUGUGGUUUAUUUGAUGGUUAGAAGCAUCAGCA